AGAGCGAACGCUGGCGGCAGGCCUAAUACAUGCAAGUCGAACGGACCCUUCGGGGUUAGUGGCGGACGGGUGAGUAACACGUGGGAACGUGCCCUUUGGUUCGGAACAACUCAGGGAAACUUGAGCUAAUACCGAAUGUGCCCUUCGGGGGAAAGAUUUAUCGCCAUUGGAGCGGCCCGCGUCUGAUUAGCUAGUUGGUGGGGUAAAGGCUCACCAAGGCUACGAUCAGUAGCUGGUCUGAGAGGAUGAUCAGCCACACUGGGACUGAGACACGGCCCAGACUCCUACGGGAGGCAGCAGUAGGGAAUCUUGCGCAAUGGGCGAAAGCCUGACGCAGCCAUGCCGCGUGAAUGAUGAAGGUCUUAGGAUUGUAAAAUUCUUUCAGCGGGGACGAUAAUGGACGGUACCCGCAGAAGAAGCCCCGGCUAAACUUCGUGCCAGCAGCGC
rnacentral:rRNA from 1 species